rnacentral:rRNA from 1 species
CAGUAGCCGCGGGAAUACGGAGGGCGCGAGCGUUACCCGGAUUUACUGGGCGCAAAGGGCGUGUAGGCGGCCUGGGGCGUCCCAUGUGAAAGGCCACGGCUCAACCGUGGAGGAGCGUGGGAUACGCUCAGGCUAGAGGGUGGGAGAGGGUGGUGGAAUUCCCGGAGUAGCGGUGAAAUGCGCAGAUACCGGGAGGAACGCCGAUGGCGAAGGCAGCCACCUGGUCCACUUCUGACGCUGAGGCGCGAAAGCGUGGGGAGCAAACCGGAUUAGAUACCCCGGUAGUCCCUGUCUCUUAUAC